rnacentral:rRNA from 1 species
UACAGAGGUGGCAAGCGUUGUUCGGAAUUACUGGGCGUAAAGGGCGCGUAGGCGGUCUUGUAAGUCUUGUGUGAAAUCCCUCGGCUCAACUGAGGAACUGCGCCCGAGACUGCUUCUCUUGAGUCCCGGAGAGGAAGAUGGAAUUCCCGGUGUAGCGGUGAAAUGUGUAGAGAUCGGGAGGAAUACCGAUGGCGAAGGCAGGUCUCUGGGCUAUAACUGACGCUCAUGCACGAAAGCGUGGGGAGCAAACAGG